UACGAAGGGGGCUAGCGUUGCUCGGAAUUACUGGGCGUAAAGCGUGCGCAGGCGGUUGUGCAAGACCGAUGUGAAAUCCCCGGGCUUAACCUGGGAAUGGCAUUGGUGACUGCACGGCUAGAGUGUGUCAGAGGGGGGGUAGAAUUCCACGUGUAGCAGUGAAAUGCGUAGAGAUGUGGAGGAACACCGAUGGCGAAGGCAGCCCCCUGGGUCAAGAUUGACGCUCAUGCACGAAAGCGUGGGGAGCAAACAGG
rnacentral:rRNA from 1 species